GAAACCACCGCAUCAUGGUGUGGAGAAAAAUUAGAAAAAAUGUUUUGAGUUGCACCAUCAGCGCAUCGUGGAGAGGGCAAAAUUGAUAAUUGUCAAUUUCAGUAGGGGUCCACGAUAUUGGCACAUUGCGCCGUAGACCAAAUUGACAAUUUUCAUUCUUCCAGUGUUGUGACGCAAUUGUGGCGCAUUGUGGAGGGUUCAAAAAUUGAAAAAUAAAAAUAAGAAUUUCAACAGACCCAUCCCGCCUCUAUAUAAACCCUUUCCCACUAAACCCUAAUCCCCUCUUCCAACCCUAGCACCGCCCCACUCCCCCUAAAUGCUAAUUCACUCAAUUUUCUUCCAAAAGUCAAGCCUUUAACGCAUUCACCUAGGUAUCAUGGAGCCCCAACCAAUCAAAGAAAACGUAAAGGGUGGUUCUUCUGCACCGGCAAGGAAAACAGGCAGGCCAUCUGAGACCCAACUCACUAGGGUACCCUGGGCUCCUCCACUUCAGCAUGGACAGGUCGGGAAGAUUGGAUAUAAGGCUGUGAACAAAGCGGAAAAACAGUGGUACAUGAAGUAUACAGAUGCUAAAUAAAUUCCCGAGGUGUUCAUUGAUCGGGCUAGCUUAUUGAGGGAAUGCCCAAACAUGGUACGAUGAGUUGAGCAGCUGAAUAUGAAUUUCAUCUUUCAUUAGCAUACUGAGUGAAUAUUGUACUUAGUUAGCGAGUUUUACGCCAACUGGGAUCCAAGUGACCCCCCCGAUCAUGAGCUCAUGACGAUUCGUAGGAAGGUAGUUUGUUUCACUACUGCAGACAUUAUGAAUUGUUGGGUAUACCAAAGUCAAGCCCAAACUUUUUGAAGUAGUUUAUAGUUUCUCCUCCUUAUGCGCAUAUCAGAGAUCUGUUGUGCGGGGUACGCUCCUCAGCUCGUUGGACUAGGCAUCGUGUCACUGGCCUGCAUUCUUCUUUUCCUUAUGCUCAGAUGAACAUGGAGGCCAGGAUAUGGGGUCGCAUUGCGUAUCUUCGCUUGAUUCAGGGCAAGCAUAUGACAGAGGUUACUAGGGACCGAGUAUGUUUGAUUUAUGCACUGAUGUGUGAUGACGUUGAUGUUAAUAUGGGGCAUGUAAUUUUUUUUGCUAUGAAGAAGGCGCAUACCCAGGUGGGGCGCAGUUUUGUUUUGGAGGAUUGGUGACCUAAUUUCUAUGAAGGCACAGAGUAGAGAGGAUCUGGACUAUAAGCCCGAUGUUUUGACUCACUUGUGGAUAUCACUAUCGCUAGGAGCGCAUCUGGGGCAAAUGGCCUAAUCUUGACCAUGGCUGAGCUCCAAACCCAAGAUGAUGAGAUUUUAGCCAGAAUGUAUGGCCUUCAGAUAUUGCAGCUGAAUAUUGGGGGCAGACCAACCACGCUUGAGAAGCUUUGAGUUGUUGAGUUAGAUUAUCCCUUUGGGCAUCAUGCUAAGACCUUGCUGUAGAUUAGCUCGAACAUUGUGAAGUAUGUCGAUAAUGACAUUCUAACUAAUGAGGAGAGGCGAUAUAGGGACUCAGAUCGAGAGUCAGAUAAGGAGGAUCUGUCUGAUGAUGGAGCUAAUGAUGAUAAUGAGGACGUGGAUGGGGUCGCUGAUGACAUGACAACCAUAGUGCCAUUUGAGUGACCAGGGAGUAUGUUGCCACUCUACAUAUGCUUAUUUGAAAGCACUGGGAUAGUGCUUUGUUUAAGUGUGGGGUUGUUGGUUUUUCUUUUGCUUUUUCAUGUUCUUUUUUAUUCUUGCUAAAUAAUUUUUAUUUUCGGUUUUUUUGGUUUUUGCAAGUUCUAGCUAUCCAGAACACUGGUCUAUAAUAGUUAGUAACUUUGUGGAUUGCAAUUUUCCCUCUUUGGCAUUUAUCACAUAUUGCUUUUAGUUCAAA